UACGUAGGGGGCAAGCGUUGUCCGGAAUCAUUGGGCGUAAAGAGCGUGUAGGCGGUUCGGUAAGUCGGCUGUGAAAGUCCAGGGCUCAACCCUGGGAUGCCGGUCGAUACUGCCGGACUAGAGUUCGGAAGAGGCGAGUGGAAUUCCCGGUGUAGCGGUGAAAUGCGCAGAUAUCGUAAGGAAGACCAGUGGCGAAGGCGGGUCUCUGGACAGUUCCUGACGCUGAGGCACGAAGGCCAGGGGAGCAAACGGG
rnacentral:rRNA from 1 species